GGGGGUAUAGCUCAGCUGGAAGAGCGCUGCCUUUGCAAGGCAGAUGUCAGCGGUUCAAGUCCGCUUAUCUCCA
rnacentral:tRNA from 1 species